GGAAGGGUGGGGGAGCAGUCGAAACCACCUCACUGCCAAGGAGGCGGGCUAAAGCCCCGCAGGUUCGAAUCCUGCUCCUUCCGCCA
rnacentral:tRNA from 1 species